GGGUGAGUAAUGCCUAGGAAAUUGCCCUGAUGUGGGGGAUAACCAUUGGAAACGAUGGCUAAUACCGCAUAAUGCCUACGGGCCAAAGAGGGGGACCUUCGGGCCUCUCGCGUCAGGAUAUGCCUAGGUGGGAUUAGCUAGUUGGUGAGGUAAGGGCUCACCAAGGCGACGAUCCCUAGCUGGUCUGAGAGGAUGAUCAGCCACACUGGAACUGAGACACGGUCCAGACUCCUACGGGAGGCAGCAGUGGGGAAUAUUGCACAAUGGGCGCAAGCCUGAUGCAGCCAUGCCGCGUGUGUGAAGAAGGCCUUCGGGUUGUAAAGCACUUUCAGUCGUGAGGAAGGUAGUGUAGUUAAUAGCUGCAUUAUUUGACGUUAGCGACAGAAGAAGCACCGGCUAACUCCGUGCCAGCAGCCGCGGUAAUACGGAGGGUGCGAGCGUUAAUCGGAAUUACUGGGCGUAAAGCGCAUGCAGGUGGUUUGUUAAGUCAGAUGUGAAAGCCCGGGGCUCAACCUCGGAAUUGCAUUUGAAACUGGCAGACUAGAGUACUGUAGAGGGGG
rnacentral:rRNA from 1 species